UACGUAGGGUCCGAGCGUUGUCCGGAGUUACUGGGCGUAAAGCGCGCGCAGGCGGCGGUGUUGGCCCGGCGUGAAAGCCCCCGGCUCAACCGGGGAGGGUCGUCGGGGACCGCACCGCUUGAGGGCGGUAGGGGCUGGUGGAAUGCCUGGUGUAGUGGUGAAAUGCGUAGAGAUCAGGCAGAACACCUGGGGCGAAGGCGGCCAGCUGGGCCGUCCCUGACGCUGAGGCGCGAAGGCGUGGGGAGCGAACAGG
rnacentral:rRNA from 1 species